GACGAACGCUGGCGGCGUGCUUAACACAUGCAAGUCGAACGGAAAGGUCCUGCUUUUGUGGGGUGCUCGAGUGGCGAACGGGUGAGUAACACGUGAGUAACCUGCCCUUGACUUUGGGAUAACUUCAGGAAACUGGGGCUAAUACCGGAUAGGAGCUCCUGCUGCAUGGUGGGGGUUGGAAAGUUUCGGCGGUUGGGGAUGGACUCGCGGCUUAUCAGCUUGUUGGUGGGGUAGUGGCUUACCAAGGCUUUGACGGGUAGCCGGCCUGAGAGGGUGACCGGCCACAGUGGGACUGAGAUACGGCCCAGACGCCUACGGGAGGCAGCAGUGGGGAAUAUUGCACAAUGGGCGGAAGCCUGAUGCAGCAACGCCGCGUGCGGGAUGACGGCCUUCGGGUUGUAAACCGCUUUCGCCUGUGACGAAGCGUGAGUGACGGUAAUGGGUAAAGAAGCACCGGCUAACUACGUG
rnacentral:rRNA from 1 species